CUAUGUUACGACUUAUCUUAUUUUAAUAAUAAGAGUGACGGGCGAUAUGUACAUAUUUUAGAGCUAAAAUCAAAUUUGUAAUCUUUAAAAUUUUACUAUCAAAUCCAAUUUCAUUAAAUAUUUCAAAUUUAAAUCUAUUUAAAUAAAUUUAUUGUAACCCAUUUUUACUUAAAUAUAAACUACACCUUGAUCUGAUAUAAAUUAUAAAUUAAAAUUAUUGAAAAUUAUUAUUCUUAUAAAAUAUUCUAAUAACGACGGUAUAUAAAUUGAAAAACAAAUUUAAGUAAGGUACAUCGUGGAUUAUCGAUUAUAAAACAGGUUCCUCUGAAUAGACUAAAAUACCGCCAAAUUUUUUAAGUUUCAAGAACAUAACUAAUACUACCUUAAUGAAAAAAAAAUAUAUUUUAAAUAAUAGGGUAUCUAAUCCUAGUUUA
rnacentral:rRNA from 1 species